UGGGCUUCCUGGUCAGAGGCAAUUAAGAGG
rnacentral:piRNA from 1 species